UACGAAGGGGGCUAGCGUUGCUCGGAAUCACUGGGCGUAAAGCGCACGUAGGCUGCUUUUUAAGUCAGAGGUGAAAUCCUGGAGCUCAACUCCAGAACUGCCUUUGAUACUGGAGAGCUUGAGUCCGGGAGAGGUGAGUGGAACUGCGAGUGUAGGGGUGAAAUUCGUAGAUAUUCGCAAGAACACCAGUGGCGAAGGCGGCUCACUGGCCCGGUACUGACGCUGAGGUGCGAAAGCGUGGGGAGCAAACAGG
rnacentral:rRNA from 1 species